UACGUAGGGUGCAAGCGUUGUCCGGAAUCAUUGGGCGUAAAGCGCGCGUAGGUGGUCAUGUAAGUCCGCUGUGAAAGUCAAAGGCUCAACCUUUGAAAGCCGGUGGAUACUGCAUGACUAGAGUACGGAAGAGGCGAGUGGAAUUCCUGGUGUAGCGGUGGAAUGCGCAGAUAUCAGGAGGAACACCAAUAGCGAAGGCAGCUCGCUUGGGACGUUACUGACACUGAGGCGCGAAAGCGUGGGGAGCGAACAGG
rnacentral:rRNA from 1 species